AUAUGUAACAUUGUUAUAUUACUGAAGUUACGUAUAUGAUACAUCUUCCAGCAUCCCUAAAAACAAUAUAACUCUGAUAUCUACUAGUGUGUAAUAUAGUUACAUAUCAUAUAUGUAACAUUCGCAAUAUAUAUUUUACAUUGCUAAUAUUAUGUAAAAGCUAUGUAAAUAUAGCAUAUUCAUGAUAUAUUACUCAGAUCUAUACAAGUACUCUUAUAAUACAUAACCUUUAUUAAAGUUGAACUGUUUAGAGAUUUUUGCCAGGACUAGUGCAGUGAAAAGUGAUAUGCAUUUUCUAACUUUUGAUUGUUAGUUAGAAGUGAUGAACUAUAAUAAUAAUAAUAUUCAAUAUUCUUUGAUUUUUCAUCAAUUCCGGAUUACUUUCAUCGUGGAAAUAUGUGAGAUAAGAAGUGAAAAACUGUAAUAAUAAUAUUCAACAUUCGAUGAUUUUUCACCAAUUCCAGAUUAGUUUCAUAGUGAAAAUAUGUGAGAGUGAGGAAUCACCUCCUGAAGUUUACUCAUGUAUUCAAAACUUUCUAUUAUGUAAGAAAUUUGUUAUUUAUCCAAUCAGGAAACCUCGUUACUGAGAAUUUUAAUUGUAAAUACCAUUUUUUAAUAACAUUCCAAUAUGUUUAGGUUUUGCAUCUCAAUCUUUUAUCCAAUGUGCAGACUUUGAGAAGAUAGAUAUCAGCCGAGUGGAUAAGGCUGGCCACAUUGAGGAUCAAGAGACAAAAAUAAGUUUUGGUUGAUGUAGGUAGUUUGAUUACAUUAAAAAUUUUCAAUAAUUCUAUGAUCUUUCAUUUAACAAACACCCAAUUGUUAAAUUAUUAAAUCCUGUUUUACUAUUCAUAAAUUAUUUGUAAUAUUUCAAAUGUGGGGCAUACCAAACGUAGGAAUCUGAUUUUUGUUGAAUUUUCUAGGUUCAAAAUAAUAAUAUUGUUGACUAAAAAAUAUCUUUCUAGCAAAAAAUGAAAGAUGGAGUUUAAAUAUAUAUUUUUGGAAUGCACCUUAAUUCAUAAGUAUCUCUUUUCAUGUAAUUUAUAAGUGAUAUAUCUCUUAUUAAUUGAUGUUGGCUAGAUACCAGCAGUUUUAGUUUCAAUUGGUAUUGUGUAUCAUUUGUUAUAUUUUUGUUUGGAAGGUAUUGAAAAAAAUUCCAACAAAUUCACUAAAACAUAAUUUGUGUGGUGUCGGCAUAUUUAGAUUUUUUAUAUGUAGUUUGAUUAGUUUUUCCUCCAGAAAGAAUUGUACAGGUAUGUAUUGUUUUUGAAUUGCAUAGAGAAUUUACUUCUGAGUACCUAUAUGUAAUAUAAACAUUCAGAUAACUAUUACAUUUUUCUUAUGUCUCUUGUUUGUAGCAGAUAUAUUUCUUUUGGUUAUAUCACAUAGAACGGAUAAAUUUUUUUAUAUUGCAUGGUGAACUUUUUACUGAGUAUAUAUUAUGUAAUAUAACCAUAUAUAGGUUGGCCCAGUUCUUGUAGAGUAACUUGGUGUAUUCACUUUUAGGAUGAAAGCGUCAUAGUCACUUUAUAGGUCAAUAAAUUCACAAAAACAUAAGGAGGUUAUUGACAUCAGGUUGUUCAAAAUUAAAGAUUUUAUUGAUAAAUCUGGUAACUUGAACAACCUCGAUAUAACUUCCUUAUUAUGAAAUUACGACCCAUAUUCAUAUUAUGUUUUCAUCUUAAAAACUGAAAACUCUCACAAC